UACGUAGGGGGCUAGCGUUGUCCGGAUUUAUUGGGCGUAAAGAGCGUGUAGGCGGCCAGAUAGGUCUGCUGUGAAAACUCGAGGCUCAACCUCGAGAUGUCGGCGGAAACCAUUUGGCUAGAGUCCGGAAGAGGAAAGUGGAAUUCCUGGUGUAGCGGUGAAAUGCGCAGAUAUCGGGAGGAACACCAGUGGCGAAGGCGGCACUCUGGGCCGGAACUGACGCUGAGGAGCGAAAGCGUGGGGAGCGAACAGG
rnacentral:rRNA from 1 species